GACGAACGCUGGCGGCGUGCUUAACACAUGCCAGUCGAACGGAAAGGCCCUGCUUGCAGGGUGCUCGAGUGGCGAACGGGUGAGUAACACGUGGGUGAUCUGCCCCUUACUUUGGGAUAAGCCUGGGAAACUGGGUCUAAUACUGGAUAGGACCAUGCUGUAGGUGGUGUGGUGGAAAGAUUAGUUUCGGUAAGGGAUGAGCUCGCGGCCUAUCAGCUUGUUGGUGGGGUAAUGGCCUACCAAGGCGUCGACGGGUAGCCGGCCUGAGAGGGUGGACGGCCACAUUGGGACUGAGAUACGGCCCAGACGCCUACGGGAGGCAGCAGUGGGGAAUAUUGCACAAUGGGCGCAAGCCUGAUGCAGCGACGCCGCGUGGGGGAUGACGGCCUUCGGGUUGUAAACUCCUUGCAGCCAUGACGAAGCCCUUGUGGUGACGGUAGUGGUAGAAGAAGCACCGGCUAACUACGUG
rnacentral:rRNA from 1 species